GCGAGGCCGGGCCGGCACACACACAUUAGCACACUUGAGCCAUCACCAAUCAGCAUAGGGAUCUGAGCAGCGCUCGCACACACCAAACCAGCAGCGUCCGCGGAGAAAACUCUCGCCAGCAACUCCUCUAAAGCACCGUCUUUUCCAACCCUGGUGGGCUUCAAGCAGCAACAGCGGCCAGAGAAACCCCAACCGAACCAAACUCUUGACAGGAGCUCUGCCGAGGGAGGAUGCCUCAUAAAGGGGGAAGACUUAACUAGGGGUGCGCAGAUGCGUGAGACCUUUUAUUGUAAAAGUGGACAGACAUCCCAGAUUUCAGGCAAGUUCUGUGGUGGCUGUUUGGGGGUCCAAAACACGAAAGAA